ACGGGCCCGCCGGGAACAGCACCAUCAUCGUGAGCCGCUCGGGCGAGGACGAGUCGCAGGAGGACGUGCUCAUGGACGAGGCGCCCUCCAACCUGAGCCAGGCCUCCACGCUGCAGGCCAACCGCGAAGACUCCAUGAACAUCCUGGACCCUGAGGACGAGGAGGAGCACACGCAGGAGGAGGACAGCAGCGGCAGCAACGAGGACGAGGACGACAGCCAGGACGAGGAGGAGGAAGAGG